AUGAACGGGCUCAAAAAUGUACAAAAUUGUUGGACCUUUCACUAAGCUGCAACCAGAACGUGGAGAUUCAUUUGAGUUCUCAUGGCUUUUCUAUGGAGAAGUUACGGAAGUCCUUGUUUUAAAAACGAAUGGUAUGGCAUGAUAACUAGCAUCAUGACCAGAGCUGUGGAUGGAGAUGAUGACAACUAAAAUGCAGUUAGGUUUUGUAUUGUAAUAGUUGUCAAGACAAUUUAUUUGUAUAAAUCUUUUAAAAAUACAGAUUGUUUUAAAUCAUUUUUACAGUUUCAUGAUGAUUCAUUUUUGGUAGUUUAGAGCUGGGUGAUUGUAUAACAUUUAAGUUAACAUUUGAUGAUACAAACAAGCAGUUGAGAUUUGCUCUAUAUAUUGUGUGACUGUGAGAACGGUUUGUAUGCAAAAGAAAAAAAAAGAUUUUAAGGUGGGGUUAUUAAUUAUGUUGUGAUACAGAGGAUUAUGAAUCUUUUGUGAUGUUUAUAACAAUUUAGUGUAUUAACAAGCCCAUUUACUAUUUGGUGAUGUUUAUCAUCAUUUAAAUAACAUGUAUAAACAAUGGGAAUUAAGAUUAUGGUCAUAUCACUCACCCAUAAGCAGUUCAACAAAAAUAGAUACAUGAUACAAAAUGUUAUGGUCUCCUAGUAUAUGCAAACCAAAGACAACUGUGGCAAGGAAUGAAAAACUCCAGAUAAAAAAAAGCCUUGGGAGAAACCAGGUUAUACCAGGGGUCAGUUCUCCUCUGGAUAUACAUUCAUAUGUCAGUAACUAAACAGACAAAUCUCAUGUAACUGUAGUAGUGUGUUCUUUUCAUUGGUUUAUUUGAUUUUGCAACACUGUAAAAAAUAAGAAUUUGAUAAUUCCGUUUGGUUUUAGCUACAAGCUCAUGUGAAAGUCUAAUAAAACAUGAAAACAAA